rnacentral:rRNA from 1 species
UACGGAGGGUGCAAGCGUUGUUCGGAAUCAUUGGGCGUAAAGCGCGUGUAGGCGGCUUGGCAAGUCGGUUGUGAAAUCCCGGGGCCCAACCCCGGAACUGCAUUCGAAACUGCCUCGCUAGAGUCCCGGAGAGGAAGGCGGAAUUCCCGGUGUAGAGGUGAAAUUCGUAGAUAUCGGGAGGAACACCAGCGGCGAAGGCGGCCUUCUGGACGGUGAUUGACUCUGAGACGCGAAAGCGUGGGGAGCAAACAGG